rnacentral:lncRNA from 1 species
AAACUUGGCAAAUCAUUACAUGAGAAAUCAAUGAAAAUAAUUAGUCAAGAUGGGUGAAAAACAGAGUAUUGAGGAAAUGGGAAAGAAACCAUGGAAUCCAAUCAAAUUUAGAGAUUUGGAAGAGGCUCUGGAGACACAGCUGAGAGGAAUUGCCUGAACUGCUUUAAAAUUGCACAAGUGUCUGGGUGCCGGGGUGGCUCAGUCUGGUUUAGGGUGAAGACAUCAGGCCAUCAACAUAUACUGAGGGAGCAUUUGUGAGUGACAUAGCCAAUAAUGGAUUGUACUCUCCAUAUUUUGUGCUCAAGAUUUAAGAAUAUGGACCAUGAAAAGCUACGCCGCCCCCUAAUUCCCAACAGGUGCAAAGCCAAAUGGAAGGAAGAGUAAAAGAAAGAGAACACACUAAGAAUCUCCCUUCCCUAGUCUGCUGCUACUGCCAGGAAAUCACCUUCAGUACAAGAAUUUUGAACGUUCAAUAACUUGUAAGUAAUAAUACAUAUUCAAAUUCAUUUGACAGACGGCUGAGGUUCUAAAUUAAU